GAAGGGUAAUUUUCACCCUCUCACACACAUCUCUGGUACCCAGACCGGAGUUUAAACUAGAAUGGGUACUUUGGGGGCCUCGGUUGGUCAAAGUUGUCCCUUACUUUGACCUGGAGAUCAAUCUUCUGAUAUCUCUCUGGUUUGUCUGUUUUCCACCGAGUGGCCCGGUGGUUCUCUCCGAGUACUUCGGCUUCCUCCACCAUAAUAACAGACUGCCCGGUGUCCUAGCACUCCCUUUGUGUUGGGGUUGGGAUUGAUUGUCCUUGUAAAAAUAAUUGUCGUAUAAACAUACGUUAGUGACACAUCUCCAUUAAUCCCGUUAGGGAGUGUACAUGGAUGCCACUGUACCCUCGCAGUUUUCGAGGGGUUCUUCGGAUAUCGGAGGCAUUUACCAGUACAUACAUACAUACAUAUA
rnacentral:lncRNA from 1 species